UACUUAGUUAAUUCUACUAGUAGUUAUAUAUUUAUCUCAAAGAUUAAGCUAUAUAUAUUUAAAUAUAAGUAAUUAUAUUACGAAAUUGUAAAUAGCUUAUUAAAUUAGUUAUCGUUUAUUUAAUAGUACUUUAUUAUUUAGAUAACUAUAGUAAUUCUAAAGCUAAUAUAUAUUAAAAAUCUCGAUUUUAGAAGAGAUGUAUUUAUUAGAUUAAAAACUAAUACCUUUCGAGGCUUUUUAGUGAUUUAUAAUAAUUUUUCGAAUCGUAUAGCUUUACAUUAGCGAUAGUUUAUUCAAAUUUCUACUUUAUUAACUUUCGACGGUUAAAUCUUAGUUAGUUAUAGUAAUAACGGGUAAUAAAGGGUUAAGGUUCGACUUCGGAGAAAGAGUUUAAGAAACGGCUACUAUAUUUAAAGAAGGUAGUAGGCGUAUAAAUUACUUAAUUUCGACUUAAGGAAGUAGUAAUAAUAAAUACUAAUAUAAGGCUCUUUUAGGUUUUAUAAUUAGAAUAAGUAUAAUUUAAAUCUUUUAAUAAAGAAUAAUUAGAGAAUAAGUUUAGUAUUAGUAGCCAUAGUAAUUUUAACUCUAAUAACGUAUAUUAAAGUUGUUAUAGUUAAAAAGCUCGUAGUUAAACCUUAAGUUUAGUUAGCUAGUCUACUUUAUUAUAUAUAUUAGUCUAGUUAAGCCUUUUCUUUUAGGGAACUAUAUACCUUUUAUUAGGUAUAUCGGAGAACUAAGACUUUUACUUUAAAUAAAUUAAAUCGCUUAAAAAAGGCUUAUAUUUAAAUACAUUAGUAUAGAAUAAUAGAAUAAGACGUAUAAUUCUAUUUUAUUAGUUUCUAAGACUAUUAUAAUAAUUAAUAGAGAUAGUCGAAGGUAUUAGUAUUUAAUUAUUAGAAGUGAAAUUCUUAAAUUUAUUAAAGAUUAACUACUACGAAAGUAUUUGCUAAGGAUAUUUUUAUUAAUUAGGAACAAAAGUUAGAAGAUUAAAGAUAAUUAGAUAUCAUUGUAGUUUUAACUAUAAACUAUAUUAACUAAGGAUUAGACGAUAUUAUACUUUAACUCGUUUAGUACUUUAUACGAAAGUAAAGUUUUUAGGUUUUAGGAGAAGUAUAGUUGUAAGGUUGAAAUUUAAAAAAAUUAAUAAAAAGGUACUAUUAGGGGUAAACGUCCGUAGACUCUACUCCUAAUAGUAGCUUAGCGAUAAGUUAAAUAGUAUACUUUAACUACUUAUUCGAAGCUGAAAAUUGUUAGUUUACUUAUUAUAAGUAAUACUUUUAAAUUAACGAAGAACCCUUAAAGCUUUUAGCGACUAAGUAGUAGUCGAAAAAUACGUUUAUAGCUAAACUAAUUACUUAAGUAUAGUAAAACUAUUAGAAGAUAUAUUAAUAGGUAAUUCGUAGCUAAGCUCUUAAUCGGCGUUAUUAUUAUAUAGAAAAGGUUUAGAGACUUAACGAAGAUAAGUUCGUACGCUUAGUAUAAGCUUAAGAUAAAGUCUACGGUAUAGGUUAACGCUUACUAUUUAAGUAAACUUUAAUAAAUAGGAGUUUAUAGCUUAAUUUGACUUAAUAUAGAAAAACUUACUAAGUUUAGAUAUAAGUAGAAUUGAUAGAUUAAGAGUUUUUUCUUAAUUUUAUAAGUAGUAGUAUAUACUUAUUUUUAGUUAGUAGAGUAAUUUGUUUAUUUAAUUAUAAUAACGAAUAAGACUUUAACUUACUAAAUAACUUAUAUUAUUUUAGUAGUACGUUAGCUUUUUAAAAAGACUAUUAGCUUAAGUUAAUAAAAGUUUAAAGUAAUAAUAAGUUUAUAAUACCUUGAAAUAUUUUAGGUCGUACGUAUAUUAUACUAAUAGAGCUAGUAAGUACUCUUUUGAUUAGAAAGUUUAGGUAAUCUUAUUAAACUUUGUUAUAUUAGGGAUAAAGUAUUAUAAUUAUUACUUUUUAACAAAGAAUCUUUAAUAAAUGUAAGUUAUUAGUUUACGUUAAUUACAUUUUUAUUCUUUAUAUAUAUCAUUCGUCGCUACUAUUAAUUAAAUAGCUUAGUAAGGCUUUCGGAUUAGCUUAGAGAAGUUAGUAACGACUACUUAGGGUUAGAAAGUUAUCUAAACUCGGUUAUUUAAAGGAAAUAAAAGUCGUAAUAAAGUCUUUAUUAGUAAAUUAGCGAAGGGAUUAUUA
rfam:Coniochaeta ligniaria NRRL 30616 unplaced genomic scaffold CONLIGscaffold_6, whole genome shotgun sequence.